rnacentral:rRNA from 1 species
UACGUAGGUGACCAGCGUUGUCCGGAUUUACUGGGCGUAAAGAGCGCGCAGGCGGUCGUUCAAGUCGAGUGUGAAAGCCCCCGGCUCAACUGGGGAGGGUCACUCGAUACUGAUCGACUUGAAGGCAGGAGAGGGAAGCGGAAUUCCCGGUGUAGUGGUGAAAUGCGUAGAGAUGUGGAGGAAUACCGAUGGCGAAGGCAGCCCCCUGGGAUGACACUGACGCUGAAGCACGAAAGCGUGGGGAGCAAACAGG